CGUGAGCAACCUGCCCCUGACUCUGGGAUAAGCGCUGGAAACGGCGUCUAAUACUGGAUAUGUGACGUGACCGCAUGGUCUGCGUCUGGAAAGAAUUUCGGUUGGGGAUGGGCUCGCGGCCUAUCAGCUUGUUGGUGAGGUAAUGGCUCACCAAGGCGUCGACGGGUAGCCGGCCUGAGAGGGUGACCGGCCACACUGGGACUGAGACACGGCCCAGACUCCUACGGGAGGCAGCAGUGGGGAAUAUUGCACAAUGGGCGCAAGCCUGAUGCAGCAACGCCGCGUGAGGGACGACGGCCUUCGGGUUGUAAACCUCUUUUAGCAGGGAAGAAGCGAAAGUGACGGUACCUGCAGAAAAAGCGCCGGCUAACUACGUGCCAGCAGCCGCGGUAAUACGUAGGGCGCAAGCGUUAUCCGGAAUUAUUGGGCGUAAAGAGCUC
rnacentral:rRNA from 1 species